rnacentral:rRNA from 1 species
UACGUAGGUGGCGAGCGUUGUCCGGAUUUACUGGGCGUAAAGAGCGCGCAGGCGGUCGUUCAAGUCGCGUGUGAAAGCCCCCGGCUCAACUGGGGAGGGUCACGCGAUACUGAUCGACUCGAAGGCAGGAGAGGGAAGUGGAAUUCCCGGUGUAGUGGUGAAAUGCGUAGAUAUCGGGAGGAACACCAGUGGCGAAGGCGACUUCCUGGCCUGUUCUUGACGCUGAGGCGCGAAAGCUAGGGGAGCGAACGGG